CUCAGAUACUGUAGUUAGGGUAGAUUUCUACUUUGAUAUAUUAUUCUUCUCCCUGAGAUUUUUGUUUCCUGAAAUUGUGUUUUGAGAGCAAGAUUGCUCCUUAAUUGCAUACAUAUCUGUUCCCCACAUGUAUUUUAAUAAGUUGUAAAAUUGUCUUUAAUUUUGUGAAGUUGGAAGUUAUAUUGCUUAAUUAUGUAAUUAUUUUUGGAGUCUCACGUUAUAGAGUAUAAUUCAGUCCUGAGUCGCUAGUAUGGUCAUUAAAUAUUAUGUUGGAGUCUUGUGUGAGUGUAAUAUUUCUCUUUUUCUGAAUUUAAAAAUGCUUAUUUGGUACCAGAGAUAGCUUCUUUUUUAUAGGAUUUCUUCCCUCAUCCCAUUCAAGGGGAGGCCACUGGUUUGAUGUAUUGCAGCUUCCCUUCUUGAUUCAACUUCCUAUCCUCUCCCCAUACUCUCAUGAAACUGGAUCACUGCUGGUUAUAGCACCAUGCCACCAUGGCCAAAUCUGCUCAUCUUAGCUCUAUGCAAUCUCCUUCGGUGCCCAAGGUGGAGCAACCAAUAAACCUUGCUUCUCGUUGUGACAUAACUCAGCUACUCUUGUUUUGGUGGUUGCUUUGCUCUGCUACAGGGUAGCAUUAGUGCUGUGGUGGAGAGAUUUGGCAUUACUUUGGUGAAGUCAUUGGUCAAAUUGUGCUUCAGGAGAACAUAAUUUCUAUUGUGGCACCACCAAGCAUAUAAUAUCUUCUCCAAACACCUAGGAUUAUUUAUCUAUUUGUGGAUCUACUUUUGUAAUUUGUACCGUUAGCUCGGCAUCGACUAAGAGCAAUGCCCAUAGUUCAUACUACUCCACCUUGAAGGUAGUGUUGGAGUUAAUAAUAUAGUCCUGCUGUCUAAAGUAUUAUGCUGCAGUCUUGUAUAUGUCUAUGACUGUAAUGUUUCUCUUUUCUCAAUCUAUUUUUUACUAUUCUCAUCAUGCUUUUAGAAUGAUAAAAGCCACUAAUACCAUAUCUCUAAAUAUGGUUAUAGAAUCCUUUUUUACUGUUGCUACCAGCUUGUUUAUAGGUUGCUAAAACAAAUGGAGGGCGGAUCUGCAUGUCCAGUAGUGUUCUAGAUGAUAAUUGGCAACUGGUGGAUUCUUCUUCUAUACCCAAGUUUUGGUUUGAUUCAUUCACUUUGUUAUAUAAAACAUGGAGUUUCACUUUGCUUAUAAACUCAUGUAUGACAUAGCAAGUGUUUGAUAACUUACAAAGUUCAAGAUUAAAAUUUGGAAUCUUGUGAAGAUUGCACACUUCCUAAUGGAGACAUUGGAAAUUCUUUUGGCAUAUACGUGCGUGUCUGUGUUUUGCUAUAUGUUUUGUGCACACAUCCAUUGUCUUUUGUUGAGUUUUCCAAACUAGAAGAAAUUGUUUUUUCUUCCUUUCUUUCUUUCAAUUUUUUUGUAUCAGGGAACUUAUAAAAUGACUAUUUACCUUACUAUGGGUGGCCACUAUCAAUGUUACUUGGUAUCAGCGUGACAUAUCCACUAAUAUGAUUGACUCACUUAAUGAAAAAAAUUAUAGAAGUACCUUUCCAAUCUGAAAAAGAGAUGUAUGAAACUUCAUGAUUCAUCCUGUCAAAAGUAAUAGUUUUCAUGUAAUUGAUAAAUUUUUUGUUUAAGUUCCAUAAAUGAUCGAGUGGCUUAUAUUUUCUGAAAUUAUAGUUCCAUUGUCCAUUAUAUCUGAAGGUUAUUGUUUUUUG